rfam:Musa acuminata subsp. malaccensis Doubled-haploid Pahang (DH-Pahang) genomic chromosome, chr7
UGGCUGAUGAUGAGUGAUCUUAAGGAUCUUAGCGGAUUUCAGUGAGACUUAGUCUAUGAUCUGAUCUUUGUUGUUACACACACUGAAGCCC